UCUUGCCCAGCAUAAGAGGUCCAGCCUGCCCAGUGACUCUGUUCAACGGCCGCGGUAUCCUAACCGUGCAAAGGUAGCGUAAUCACUUGUUCUUUAAAUAGGGACUAGUAUGAAAGGCACCACGAGGGCUAAACUGUCUCCUUUUUCUAAUCAGUGAAACUAAUCUCCCCGUGAAAAAACGGGGAUGUACUAAUAAGACGAGAAGACCCUAUGGAGCUUUAAAUUUUUCAUCACCUGCACCCGCUACUAAUAAAUCCAGAAGCCAAAUUCAAUAUGUGCACGAUAAUUAAAAAUUUUAGGUUGGGGCGACCGCGGAGAAAAACCUACCCUCCAUGUUGUAAGGGAUCUUCCCACCCUCUUAACAAAAAGCAACAGCUUUAUGUAUCAAUAAAAUUGACAUAAAUUGACCCAUUAUUUGAUCAACGAACCAAGUUACCCUAGGGAUAACAGCGCCAUCCACUUUGAGAGCUCCUAUCGACAAGUGGGCUUACGACCUCGAUGUUGGAUCAGGGUACCCAAGUGGUGCAGCCGCUA
rnacentral:rRNA from 1 species